rnacentral:rRNA from 1 species
GACGAACGCUGGCGGCGUGCUUAACACAUGCAAGUCGAACGGAAAGGCCCUGCUUUUGUGGGGUGCUCGAGUGGCGAACGGGUGAGUAACACGUGAGUAACCUGCCCUUGACUUUGGGAUAACUUCAGGAAACUGGGGCUAAUACCGGAUAGGAGCUCCUGCUGCAUGGUGGGGGUUGGAAAGUUUCGGCGGUUGGGGAUGGACUCGCGGCUUAUCAGCUUGUUGGUGGGGUAGUGGCUGACCAAGGCUUUGACGGGUAGCCGGCCUGAGAGGGUGACCGGCCACAUUGGGCCUGAGCUACGGCCCGGACUCCUCCGGGAGGCAGCGGUGGGGAAUAUUGCACAGUGGGCGGAAGCCUGAUGCAGCAACGCCGCGUGCGGGAUGACGGCCUUCGGGUUGUAAACCGCUUUCGCCUGUGACGAAGCGUGAGUGACGGUAAUGGGUAAAGAAGCACCGGCUAACUACGUG